GUGGAUGCUGAGGCUGAUUCACGACUACUCAGGCUCUAUGAAAUCAUGGCCAAAACACACAAACGCCUAACUAGCUGGCUAGCAACGGAGCAUUAUACAUAGACAUACAGACUACACAACAAACAUUGGGCACACUUAAAACGACUGUCGACCACAGCAAAAUAAACCUAUUUGCUAGUUGACAGGCUGUCAAUCACUAUGCUAGCAGCAGAACCAGGCCGCGGUCCGCUCGGUCUGUUGUCACCUUAACGUCGCCAGCUAACACCUAGCCACCAAGCUAACGACAGCGCUACGACACAUCCAGAUAAACCGGCAGCAGUUUGUGGUCAUUUGUCGUUUAGUAUAUACAUCGCUAUUUGCCAUUAGUAAGUCAUUUUUACCUCUUCGUUCAGUGUCGGACUCCAGCAGCGCUGACGGUAGCCGCUGUGUUUAAUGCGCGAUUCGUAAACGAUUCACCCGUUUGGAACUCUUCCGACCACAAAAUGGAAACAUGAACUUUCAAGUCACACCGACCACAGCAGUGUUUGGGACCUCUGUGAUUAAAUACCAUAACUUUGUCAAUUCUUCCCAAUCGCCAAACACAGCCCAAAAGUCACCGGGAGGAGUUCAGGCAAAUUACAGAUUAAUUUAGACAGCUCCUAAACCUGACUCGAAAUCUCCAUCCACUACGUGCUGCCGUUCUUCCCAUGAAAACAAGAAUGAGGCAUAAUCAAUCGCACACCGAAAAAGAAGGUCGGGUCAGAGCACAAUAGUAACAUGGUUUGCAAACACUGUGGCACUGUGGGCAGGAGCUAAAUUUUGGUGGAAAAAGAAUUGGACGUCUCCAUGAAGCUUGUCAGCAGAUAGCAUCAUGAAGUUCCCUUCCUGGUAAACAGCUGCACUGACUUUGGACCAAAAGCAGCAACAACAGCUAAUGGUAUGACCCCCCCCCCCAAAUUAGCAUGUGGAAACUUCACACUGGACUUCAAACACUCUCCACUGUUCCUCUUUCCUUCCUGACUCUUGGAUGCUGAUUUCUAAAUGAAAUGCAACAUUUACUUUCAUCUGAAAAGUGGGCUAGGACCACAGUGCAACAGUGUGGUUCUUUUUGUCCUUAGCCCAGGAAAGAUGCUUAUAAUGUCUCCAGUUUAGUAGGGGCUUGAUAUUAGGAAUGUAACAACCGCAGAAGGUUUUAGGUGAUGGCUCUUGGUGCACUCACACCAGUCUCAGUUUACUCCUUGUGAAACUCCUUCUGGUCAUCCCUGUUGCUUGUGCACCUUUUACUACCACACUUUUCACCUCCAACGAGGAAAAUUGGCUGUAUUAAUACAGCUCUCUGCAAACAGCCAACCUUUUUUAGCAAUGAUGUUCUGCAGCCCUGUUGAUCAUCAUCUGGAUAACCACAACUGGUCUUCCCCAUGACUGGUUGUGUGUACUGACCUACAAUAAGAGAUGUAUUGUAGUCAUACUAUUUGAACAGUAAUUUAUUCAAACUCAGAAUUCUAAUAAUUUGAUAUGAUUUUAUUUGCUUUAUUUUCUGUACUGCAGGUCACAAUUAUCAAAAUGAAAAUAGAAAAUGUCUUUGUAGGCAUUGUUG
ensembl:lncRNA